rnacentral:rRNA from 1 species
AUUUUCUAUCACCUUACCUCCUUAAAAUACCUGGUCUUUUCUGAACACUGGAGCUAAGCAGGAUCAGGACUAGCUGGACCUCGAUAGGACCUCUCUUUUAUAAAACGGCUGUCUAGGAAAGUGGUUAAGUGCAACUG